AACCACAAGUAUUAUUUGUGGCGCUUUCUGCUCAAUGAGACAUUAAAUAGCCGCAGUACUCUGACUGUGCAAAGGUAGCAUAAUAAUUUGGCUUUUAAUUGGGGUCUGGUAUGAAGGAAAUAAUGGGGCGGAACUGUCUCGGGUAAAAUUACGAAAUUUACUUAAUGGGUGAAAAUUCCCCUCGUGAAAUAAUAGACGAGAAGACCCUUGAAAUUUGGAUAUGUUUUGUUGGGGCGACAGAGUAGCAUAGAACCUACUUACUUAAUAUGACCAUUAUAUUCAGUUUAAAUAAAUUACUCAAGGGAUAACAGCAUAAUUAUUAAAUAGUUUGUGACCUCGAUGUUGGAUUAGGAAAAACAAACCCAGAAGGUAAUGUUUCUUGCUCUGUUCGAGCAUUAAUUCCUACGUGAUCUGAGUUC
rnacentral:rRNA from 1 species